AAAAAACAUGUCUUUUUGGUAAUAAUUUAAAGUCUAAUCUGCCCACUGAUUUAAAUUAAAGGGCUGCAGUAUAUUGACUGUACAAAGGUAGCAUAAUCAUUAGUUUUUUAAUUGAAAACUUGUAUGAAGGAUUUGAUGAAAUAUAAACUGUCUCUUAUUUAAAAUUAAAAAUUUAUUUUUUAGUUAAAAAGCUAAAAUAAUUUUAAAAGACGAGAAGACCCUAUAGAGUUUUAUAUUAAAUUAUUUUAUAAUUAUUUAUAUAAUUAAAAAUUAAAAAUGAAUUUAAUAUUUUAUUGGGGUGAUAGAAAAAUUAAAAAAACUUUUUUUAAAUUAUUAACAUAGAUAUAUGAAUAAAUGAUCCAUAAUUAAUGAUUAUAAGAAAAAAUUACCUUAGGGAUAACAGCGUAAUAUUUUUUUUUAGUUCAUAUAAAAAAAAAAGUUUGCGACCUCGAUGUUGGAUUAAGAUAAAAUUUAAAUGCAAAAGUUUAAAAGUUUUGAUCUGUUCGAUCAUUAAAAUCUUACAUGAUCUGA
rnacentral:rRNA from 1 species